AAGCUGCAUCUGCCAGGGCAAAUGUACCUUUCUGUUUAUGCGAUCCAAUGACCCCUAACUGCGUGCUCAGUUUCCCGGCAGAGGGCUGAAAAGUGCCCGAGAACCGCUGGCAGUUUUGCCUGGCAUUCAUUUCGCCUGCAUUUGACCACAGGGUGCAACGGUAAGGCUGGAUUCCAGACUUUGCAUGCCAGACCGAGCCGGUCUCUCUUUGAUCCUAAGUAUAUUUCUCUAGGGCGGGUUUAGCUCAGGAAGAAGGCAGGCGAGAAGAAAAGGGAUCAAAAAACCAGAUCAUGAAUUGGAUUUAGCGAGAGGAGAGAUCCUGGGCCGCUCAAAGAAGCACAUUGUUUGAGCCUAGGCUCUACUACGCAGUGACUCCCACUGCGAAUUAUCAGUGGCCAGAUAUUCUAACCGAAAUUGGGAAGAGUUUAAUCAGCCCGAUGAUUUGGGUUUUGCCCGAAUGGGGUUUGGCUUCCUCUCCCAAACUACAGGAUCGCAAUAGGGCUGUCCGCUUUGAAAAAGAUAGGCUUGCAACAGCCUCCUGGGAAUGCAGACCCGACUUGCUUUCCCCUCCUCCUCCUCUUGAAAGUCAGCAAGUUUCGAAAAGCAGCACAGGGUGUGUGGAUCAUCAUCCUGAGUGCAUUCAAAGCUAAGUCAAGAAGGUAGAAAAAUCCACAGUUGGCGGUUGGAGCUACUAUAAAACACUGCCAGCUUCUGAGAAAUACUCUGAAAUAGAGAUGGAGGACCCUCUUCUCCUGCUAAUUAAGAACGACAACACACUUGGGUUCUGAGCAACCAUCAUUGAAUUUCUCCUAGGUUGCCUCACGACAGGGGUCUGCAACCUUAAACACUCAAAGAGCCAUUUGGACCCAUUUCCCACAGAAAAGAAAACACCGGGAGCCACAAAACCCUUCCCGUGCCUGACUAUUUCUUGAGUGGUCACAAAACUAGCAUAUGUAGUUGAAUUAAAUGUUCUGUUUUCUUCUGAAACUUUUCUUUCCUUGGAUUUAUCCAUGGUUGGCCUACUGGGGGUUGAAAAGCUCAAUAAAUCGCAUGCUGGCGGGUAUCGCACAUUGGCGGUCGUGAUGCAUAUUUUGAGUGACAGGGAGCCACAGCAGAGGGAUGAAAGAGCCACAUGCGGCUUCAGAGCCGCAGGUUGCUGACCCCUGCCCCAGGAGUUACUGGCCGUGGAAACCAUUAGGGGAAACUUCUAGUGACAUUGCAGUUUUGUUUCAACGCCCCUCGCCAACAUCUGUGCCUUUUGUCCUAGUAUUGUUUCAAAGUAUGAAUUAGCUAUUGUGCCAAACUAGGGUGACAGGAUAACAGUAUUCCAGUAUUUGAGGGGCUGCCACAAAGAAGAAGAGGUCAACUUAUUUUCCAAAGCGCCAGAAGGCAGGACAAGAAACAAUGGAUGGAAAUUAAUCAAGGAGAGAAGCAACCUGGAAUUAAAGAGAAACUUCCUAACAGUGAGAACAAUUAACCAGUAGAACAGCUUUUGCCUUCAGAAGUUGUGGGUGCUUCAUCCCUGGAAGUUUUUAAGAAGAAACUGGACAGUCUGAAAUGGGAUAGGGUCUCCUGCUUGAGCGGGGGCUGGACUAGAAGACCUCUGUCAGCCUCCGCUUUUCAUUGCUUGCUUGCUCGGCUGCCAUUGUUUAUUGCCAACGAAUUAUUUAAUUCAUUUUUAAUUUAUUUUAAAUUUUUGUAUUUAUGUGUUUUAUCUUGUGGCUGUUCACUGCCCUGAGUCCUUUGGGAGAAGGGCAGUAUAGAAAUUUAAUAAAAUAAAUAAAUAAAUAAAUUGUAACGGGGGGAGGGGGGAGCUAUUGGAAUGUCUGGGAGAGGGGAAGUGAGCUGGUGGAGAAGAGAAGAGAAAGUUUUCUUCAGUGUUUUCUUUGAAGCUGAUAACUACUCAAGAUCAACCGUCGUGGCAUAGCAGGAGGAUGGCACCAUCAGACGCUGCACCCCACAUGACCCCUGGGGGGAAUGUGGAUUGGCUAAUUCUGGCUGGACAAUUGGGGGAAGGGUUUUGGGGAUGCUUUCUAUAUGUGAUUUUCGCGCCUUUUGCUUCAGACCUUGCUUUUCUUUGGUUGCAUUCAGUUCAUACUCAGUAAAAGUACCUUUCUCUAUGAAAA